rnacentral:rRNA from 1 species
AGUUUGAUCCUGGCUCAGAAUCAACGCUGGCGGCGUGCCUCAGACAUGCAAGUCGAACGAUUAAAGCUCUCUUCGGAGAGUGUAUAGAGUGGCGCACGGGUGAGUAACACGUAAGUAAUCUACCUUUGAGUGGGGAAUAACGUUCGGAAACGAACGCUAAUACCGCAUAAUGCAGCGGCACCGCAAGGUGACAGUUGUUAAAGGAGCAAUCCGCUUAAAGAGGAGCUUGCGGCAGAUUAGCUAGUUGGUAAGGUAAUGGCUUACCAAGGCUACGAUCUGUAACCGGUCUUAGAGGACGGUCGGUCACACUGACACUGAAUAACGGGUCAGACUCCUACGGGAGGCAGCAGUCGGGAAUUUUGGGCAAUGGGCGAAAGCCUGACCCAGCAACGCCGCGUGAAGGAUGAAGUAUUUCGGUAUGUAAACUUCGAAAGAAUAGGAAGAAUAAAUGACGGUACUAUUUAUAAGGUCCGGCUAACUACGUGCCAGCAGCCGCGGUAAUACGUAGGGACCAAGCGUUGUUCGGAUUUACUGGGCGUAAAGGGCGCGUAGCGGCUCGGUAAGUCACUUGUGAAAUCUCUGAGCUUAACUCAGAACGGCCAAGUGAUACUGCAGAGCUAGAGUGUAGAAGGGGCAAUCGGAAUUCUUGGUGUAGCGGUGAAAUGCGUAGAUAUCAAGAGGAACACCUGAGGUGAAGACGGGUUGCUGGUCUAACACUGACGCUGA